rnacentral:rRNA from 1 species
AGUUUGAUCCUGGCUCAGAACGUACGCUGGCGGCACGCCUAACACAUGCAAGUCGAACGCAGUAGCAAUACUGAGUGGCAAACGGGUGAGUAUAAUGUGGGAAUCUGCCUUUUGGUUUGGAAUAACACGGGGAAACUUGUGCUAAUACCGAAUAAGCCCUUACGGGGAAAGUUUUAACGCCGAAAGAUGAGCCUGCACUUGAUUAGCUAGUUGGUAAGGUAAAGGCUUACCAAGGCAACGAUCAAUAGCUGUUCUUAGAGGAAGACCAGCCACAUUGGGACUGAGACACGGCCCAGACUCCUACGGGAGGCAGCAGUGGGGAAUCUUGCACAAUGGGGGAAACCCUGAUGCAGCGAUGCCGCGUGAGUGAAGAAGGCCUUUGGGUUGUAAAACUCUUUCGUCGGGGAAGAAAAUGACUGUACCCGAAUAAGAAGGUCCGGCUAACUUCGUGCCAGCAGCCGCGGUAAUACGAAGGGACCUAGCGUAGUUCGGAAUUACUGGGCUUAAAGAGCUCGUAGGUGGUUAAAAAAGUUGAUGGUGAAAUCCCAAGGCUCAACCUUGGAACUGCCAUCAAAACUUUUUAGCUAGAGUGUGAUAGAGGUAAGUGGAAUUUCUAGUGUAGAGGUGAAAUUCGUAGAUAUUAGAAAGAACACCAAAAGCGAAGGCAACUUACUGGGUCACUACUGACACUGAGGAACGAAAGCAUGGGUAGCGAAGAGGAUUAGAUACCCUCGUAGUCCAUGCCGUAAACGAUGUGUGUUAGACGUUGGAAAUUUAUUUUCAGUGUCGCAGCGAAAGCAUUAAACACACCGCCUGGGGAGUACGACCGCAAGGUUAAAACUCAAAUGAAUUGACGGGGACCCGCACAAGUAGUGGAGCAUGUGGUUUAAUUCGAAGAUACGCGCAGAACCUUACCAACACUUGACAUGUUCGUCGCGACUUUAAGAGAUUAAAGUUUUCGGUUCGGCCGGACGAAACACAGGUGCUGCAUGGCUGUCGUCAGCUCGUGUCGUGAGAUGUUCCGUUAAGUCGGAUAACGAGCGCAACCCUUACCCUUAUUUGCCAGCGGUUCGGCCGGGAACUAUAAGGGGACUGCCGGUGACAAACCGGAGGAAGGUGAGGACGACGUCAAGUCAUCAUGGCCCUUACGAGUAGGGCUACACACGUGCUACAAUGGGGAAUACAGACGGACGCUAAAGCGUGAGCUGGUGCUAAUCCUAAAAAAUUUCUCGUAGUCCGGAUUGCAGUCUGCAACUCGACUGCAUGAAGUCGGAAUCGCUAGUAAUCGCGAAUCAGCAUGUCGCGGUGAAUACGUUCUCGGGUCUUGUACACACCGCCCGUCACACCAUGGAAGUGUGUUGCACCAGAAGUAGGUAGUCUAACCUUCGGGAAGGCGCUUACCACGGUGUGAUCCAUGACUGGGGUGAAGUCGUAACAAGGUAACCGUA